rnacentral:lncRNA from 1 species
AUUAAACCACUCUACCUCAUGUUCUUUUGGUGUCUCGUCAUAAAUAGGAGCACCGAGUCCAGUAAACUCUGAAAAGAUUUCGUUACUGGGCUCAGUUUCAUACUCGGUGGUAUUUGCAUAGGGAGUUUGAGGUACCAUCGAGUGUAGUCCAUUAGUCAUGCAAAGAGAGUGCGGCAAUGUAAAAAGAAUUGACUACUUGAUGGAAGAUGCACAAGAUCACCUUCGUCAGCACUAGUGGAGGAAUCCACACGCUCUUCAGCGAAAUGUCCUUCAUUAUAUAAGUUGCCCAUUUCACCUAUAAGGAAGACGAUAUGGUUACAACUGCAUGAAACAAAAAAACCGACAUUUUAUGAAGAAGAACAUACCAUUAUCAUAGCAAGUUUUGCACAUGCCAUUCCAUAGAACUUCGUGGCUGGGAUCAUUAUAGAUACACUGUGAAUUCCACUGACUACCAAAUGUUCCAUCUAAAAUUUCAUCUGUGUGAUAAGGCCACCUGUUUAAAAAACAUAGGACAAUGAUAAAUAAAUUGUAAAUGGUGAAAAUACCUUAAUUUUGGUACCUUGUCGAGAUUUCAAAAACCCAGCAGCCAUAAGAAUCUGAGUGCAACUAAGGUUGCAUGUAUCUAAAACAUUGUCACGCCCCUCAUUAAGCAUCACAUUUCCAGAGUUAGCAACAUCAGUUG